AGUUAGCAGGUGAGAACAGUUAGUGACUAGAUGUGCUGUGAAGCUUUACCUGCUGCAGGCUGAGUUUUGCAGAUCUGGCUGCUGCUAAAGGGGUGGGGAGAGACUGACCAAGCUCGCUUGUCCCUGUAAGAGGGCUGCCAGUGUCAGAUCUGAGGCUAGAGGAGAGCCAUAAUUCCUGAAGGCAAUCAAUAAGAUCCUGGGAGAUGGACAAGCCAAAGAAGGAAAGAGAGACUCUCUGUGGAGAGAGACUGCACUUCUGCAAGACUGCACCUUUCUCUACGAGAAAACCACGGUGUACUCUUGCCCUUGGGAAGAGAAGAAGGAGGACUGUUUCCCACACGGCAGCAGAAACGAGAGGGAAUCGGUCAUUAAAGACCCGAUACGAACAGAAGAUACGACCACGAUACGAACAGAAGACCCGAUACGAACAGAAAACCAUGUGGGGCAAUUCACAGCGAGUCUAUUUAACGGGCAGUUAUGAAUCUCCCAGCUGGGAUCAACAGAAGUAAUAGAAUAUGGGCUGAACUUUAACAAACAAUACCGUUUAUUUAAAGUUUAUUGUUUUAAAUAAGCCAUAAGGUUUAAAGCAGGGUUUCUUAACCUUGGGCCCCCAGAUGUUGUUGGACUACAACUCCCAUCAUCCUCAGCCACAAAGGCCAUUUCUGGGGAUGAUGGGAGUUGUAGUCCAACAUCUGGGGUCCCAAGGUUAAGAAACGCUGCUUUAAAGCAAUGAACUUUAAGGGGCAAUUACUCACUAAUCUCCCAGCUUUGAUGGACACAUUAAUCACCUGAGGGAUGUUAGUAUUACUCUCCCUGCCCACCCCCCUACAUUCUGUCUCUUUUGUUCUAGAUGCUGGCCUAGAUGGACCAUUUGUGCGAUCCCACACCAAUGGUCCAUCUAGGUCCAUUCGUCUUACAUUCUUUAAAAGCAGAAAAUGGGUGGCUGUGAGUGUGGGAGAGAAAAGACUCCCGAGUAUCUUCCUCCUCCUCCUGCCUCUCUGGUACCUUUUCAGGCUUGGUGUCCCAACAUUCCAUCAUCAGCACCUGCAACCGAUGGAACUGCACCUCUUCUGGCUGGCCAAGGAUGGGCCGGAUCCCCUUGGAGAGCUUUUUAGCAAUCUGAAGCUGGUGUUGCCCAAGCACGGGCCGUUGGCCGGACAGCAACUCAUAGAGCACCAUUCCGUAGGAAAACAUGUCCACCUACGGCAAGAGGCAUACGGUUACAGAGAGGUUGUGCCUGAAGAUACCCUUUGGAUACUGGAUUCCUUACAUGUUCCUUUCUCUCUCUCUCUCUCUCUCUCCCCAUAUAAAUACUCACCCUUUCCUGCUAGAAUUUUGUUUCCAGAAACCGAAAUUGCCAACAGCAGCACAUAUAAACAAA